AUUUGAAAAUCAACAUUUCUUAGAAUUGUCAUAAAUCAAGUAGAAUAGCGAAAGAAAAUGACAAUGCAACAUGUGUUUACCAUACUUGUGACCACAGAAAUGGCUUCGAAAAGUCACGUACACAUAGACUUUCAUUAUGCGACGAACUUUAAUUAUCAAUUGUAUAAUAUGAACAUUAUGAACAAUUGACAAUAAUAUUAUAUUGUUGCUAAUUAUGCAAUAUGAAUGUAUUAUUUGAAAAUGAUAUUAUUAGUAAACUUCAUCUAAUUGAGUGUUGUAAUAUUAUGGUAUUGAAUAUAAAUAUAUAUUUGUAACGUAUUAAUAUAAUAAUAAUAUUAUAUUAUGAUAUAUUAUCAAAUUGGUUAUCGUUGUAAUUGUUAUUUAUAUUUAAAUAUGAUGAGUGCAGUAUAAGAGAUUUAUUGUUACUAGAUAUGAUGUAAAUAAUUAAUAAUUGUGUAAUUAGUGUGAAUGAAAAAGGGUUAUGUUCACUUGUUGUGAUACAUGUUUUCAAUACGUAGAGUAUGUUUAUACGUGUAUUAGUGCAGUGCAGUGUUGGUGUUGUGAUUCUGAACACUCCAUAGACUUUACAAACUCUAUAACAGGGCAUGCGCAAAGAUUUUGCCAUGGACCAAGGGCUAAAUGCUCCCUCACGAAUUCAGUUCUACUUUGGAGUUCUUUCGUAAUGUACUUCAGAGUAGUCCCAAAAAUAGUCAUAAGAAUAACUUCGACUUGUGUAAUGUUUUUGACUUUAAUAAAUGUAUUGGGUUUA